AGUCACUGACAUUAGAUACCCGUGUAGUCCAGGGUGUAAACGCUGCAGACUUGGUGUUGGAAGCCCUUUGGGGGCAUUCAGUGCCGGAGAGAAGUUGUUAAGUCUGCUACUUGGGGAGUACGUCCGCAAGGAUGAAACUUAAAGGAAUUGGCGGGGGAGCACCGCAACGGGAGGAGCGUGCGGUUUAAUUGGAUUCAACACCGUAAACUCACCAGGGAAGACUGUUACAUGAAGGCCGAGAUGAAGACUCUGCUAGAUUUUCAG
rnacentral:rRNA from 1 species